CAAAUACUCCUUCCGUCCGGAAAUACUUGCAUCAAAAUGGUUAAAAGGAAAUGUAUAUAGACGUAUUUUAGUUUUAGAUACAUCUCUUUUUAUCCAUUUUGAUGACAAGUAUUUUCGAACAGAGGGGGUAGAAA
rfam:Triticum aestivum genome assembly, contig: Triticum_aestivum_CS42_TGACv1_scaffold_022265_1AS